AACGAACGCUGGCGGCAGGCUUAACACAUGCAAGUCGAACGCAUCCUUCGGGGUGAGUGGCAGACGGGUGAGUAACGCGUGGGAACGUGCCCUUCAGUUCGGGAUAACCCAGGGAAACUUGGGCUAAUACCGGAUACGUGCGAGAGCAGAAAGAUUUAUCGCUGAAGGAUCGGCCCGCGUCUGAUUAGCUAGUUGGUGGGGUAAUGGCCCACCAAGGCAACGAUCAGUAGCUGGUCUGAGAGGAUGAUCAGCCACAUUGGGACUGAGACACGGCCCAAACUCCUGCGGGAGGCAGCAGCGGGGAAUAUUGGACAAUGGGCGCAAGCCUGAUCCAGCCAUGCCGCGUGAGUGAUGAAGGCCUUAGGGUUGUAAAGCUCUUUCGUCCGGGACGAUAAUGACGGUACCGGAAGAAGAAGCCCCGGCUAACUUCGUGCCAGCCGCCGCGGUAA
rnacentral:rRNA from 1 species